rnacentral:rRNA from 1 species
GACGAACGCUGGCGGCGUGCCUAAUACAUGCAAGUCGAGCGCAGGAAACUGACGGAACUCUUCGGAGGGAAGGCAGCGGAAUGAGCGGCGGACGGGUGAGUAACACGUAAGGAACCUGCCUCAAGGAUUGGGAUAACUCCGAGAAAUCGGAGCUAAUACCGGAUAGUUCAACGGACCGCAUGGUCCGCUGAUGAAAGGCGCUUCGGCGUCACCUUGAGAUGGCCUUGCGGUGCAUUAGCUAGUUGGUGGGGUAACGGCCCACCAAGGCGACGAUGCAUAGCCGACCUGAGAGGGUGAUCGGCCACACUGGGACUGAGACACGGCCCAGACUCCUACGGGAGGCAGCAGUAGGGAAUCUUCCACAAUGGACGAAAGUCUGAUGGAGCAACGCCGCGUGAGUGAUGAAGGUUUUCGGAUCGUAAAACUCUGUUGUAAGGGAAGAACACGUACGAGAGGAAAUGCUCGUACCUUGACGGUACCUUACGAGAAAGCCACGGCUAACUACGUGCCAGCCGCCGCGGUAACAC